UACUGCCACUACUCUGCCACUACCACAGCCAUCAUCACCCAUCCCACAGGCCUGGUAUUCAGUGGACAUUCCAUGAGUGUUUGCUGAGCUAGACUGCUCAUGGAUUUGAACUUGUGGUGGGAAGUGUGCAAUGUUACACAGGAGGGGGAGCACAGAUCCAGUCCUCCUGUGCUCACUGUGCUUGCUACUCAGAACCUUGGCUUCCUUGACCAUCUGAAGGGCUCAGAACAGGACCUUUCAAGAUUAGAAUU
rnacentral:lncRNA from 10 species